UGUACUGAUGAAUUUGUUAUUAAAAUUACAACGACGGGACCAGCUUAAUGUAGCAACCCAAUACUAGAAAAAUAUGAUGAGGAUAUGAAUCAUAUGAUACUUCAGAUUUAGUUGGUCGAAUAAUUAAUAAUUAUAUAAAAAAUUUGUAACGAUCAAGUGUAAAACUCUCUCACUUGGUUAAGGAAGAAAGCAGCGGAGCAGAGAGGAACGCUGCAAUUAAUUGUAUAGAGUUUGUUGAAGCUCCCGAUUCUCUCGCUCCCUCUCAUGGCGGAUUUGCAAGCUCCUCCCCUCCUGCAAUCUGGGAUUUACACCCCUGUCUUCUCUUUCUCUGCCUUUUCGACAGUCUUAUUGUUCCAUUUUCCCUAUCUGGGGUGGGAAGGGUUAAGCUAAAGAUAAAGGAGGUUGGAAAAUAUGAAUGGCCGUCAAGCCACCUAUGCAAAAAGGAAGAGUGGAAUCAUGAAGAAGGCUAAUGAGUUGUCAAUACUAUGUGACAUAGACAUUGUCCUUCUCACGUUCUCACCAACUGGGAAGCCUUCAUUAUGCAAUGGAACGAUCAGAUCAAUAGCAUAGAACAUUUGGUGCAAAUAGAAGGUUCACUAAGGGAAUCACUUGAUCAAGUUCAAACACAUAAGGAAAAUAUUGAAAAACAGCAACUUACGCCACUAGAAUGUUAUAGUCAGAUGGGAUGCAUCUACCCUUUAGAAUGGGUGCUGACCAGCAGCUUCAACCCCUAUCAUGGACUCCUAAUAAUGACAGUCAACAAAUGGUUUUAUCCAAGGAACCAAACUGGCUUCCCUAAAGGACGUGGAUUGCCAUGCAGGUUCCUUCUUUGGAAGUUAUUCUGGGUACUUUGGAACAGGAAGAAAAUCAGAGAUUGAUAUUUCUGGGCAAGAAAGUGGCAUUCUGAAUGAAUUAAGAAGAAAUGCAUCCAUGAGUCUACAAUUGGGUGGCAAAUACCCAUACCUGCCAUAUGAUCUUAAUUUUCUGAGUGAGAUGAAAUUCCAGCCAGCAGAACGGAUGAACCAACAAGAGAACCAUGUGGAUUAUCAUGCAGGUGGAAGCUUUGAAGCUCCUCAGCCUGCAUAUGACACACCCAAUGUAGUUGGGCUUCCACAUCUAGUCCUUGUUCUGUUGCAAUAUUUGAUUGGUGUUUAAGUCCACAGGAAAUGAACUGAAUCUCAGGAGUUAUGCUCCUUAGGGGCCAUCUACUGACCAUGGAUGUGAAGAACUCGCUCUACACGCAUAACCUAACAAUCAAUCCAGAUUAACAAGCUGGCUUCAUAAUGGGGUUUCAUUGUUGAGCAAUAGUUGACAGCUGCCUCUAAGAAGUGUAUAGUACAUGACUAUGCUGCGUGGACACCCUGAUACUUGAUUAAUCACUCCUGGGCCAUGAUGACUGUGAUGUAUUAAUGGUGUGUAUACAAAAUUAUUUUCAGAAAUGGGUUGUGCUGGUGGACAAGGUUACUAAUGGCAACCAGAAUAGUGCUUGGUAGCCUGAGCUGUAAAUUAAAUUACAUACAUGAUACACCGGUGACUUCAAUAUAAAGUGUUGUGUAUUAUAUGUCUUUUGAUAA